CCAGAGUCCCAAACUGCACAGAUAAGGUUCGUUGGUCUAUUCGAACAAGUUCAGCCACAAAGAGGCGAACGAAAAGGGGUCGGUUUUUUGGGCUGGGCCUGCCUGGAUGGACCUUUAUUUUAUCGUAUAUGGCCCGCUACAAUUACAUAGAGGAUUCCUAAAAGUUCUUCCCCAACUUUUUCAAAAAAAUUUCAAAAAAACUAACCCACAACAGAUCGAUAAUAAUUAACCCUCAAUAUUUCAAAACAGUCCGUAUCAUCGUAAUUAGGCCGGCUGCUCACCUGCCCCUCACGCAUGAACAUUCGAAAGAGGAGCAGAACAAUUUGGUGAGGCCAAGGCCCUACGCUCUCCUGUUCUUGCGAUGAGGGUCGCGUGGUGACUGGAGCGGAGGCGAGCGGCGGCCAGCAGUCAGCCAUGUUGUUCAGCCGCCUCCCUCCAAUCCCUCACCAGCCCCAAGCUCUGCAUCCCUCCAAUCUUGUCCGCCAGCUCCAAGCUCCGCCUAUCGUCGGUCAAAAAUUCGACGCUGCCCCUCCAUCAUUUACAUAUCGCUCACACCCGAAGCUCGUCCACCUUCCCGGCUUCGCCCCUGACCCAUCUUUGACGAGCUCCGGCGACUAGACCGUCGGGAAUCUUAGUUCCUGCGGCCGCCCGUGUGACCCGCCGCCUGAAGCUCCGCUCACCGUCGACGAGCAUCUUCGGCCAUCCCCGACUUCGUAUAUCCUCUCAAACCACCCUCUGGUAAGCCCCUCUCACCUGCGCACCCACCUCUCCGCCUUGUCCGCCGGCGAAGCCGCCAGAGACACAACACCCCGGUCCACCCUGCCUCCAAUCGCCGUCAGCCCGCUCUGCAGUGCCGGCGCACGGCAGCAUUGUGGUGGAGACGCGCACCCUGCCGCGCGCACUAGAGGUGGGGGCGGCGGCGGUGGCGCGCAAGCCGGGGGAGCUCCGGUGCGGAGUUCCGACGAGCGGCGGCCCAGGCGCACCUCGCCCCACCGCCGCCGCGCACGUGGGAAGGGGCCGAUUGGGGGAGGAGGCUGCUCCCGAAAAUAUGCGCGGCGACCGGCUCUAUUUUUUGCGUCGGGAAUAGCUUAGGGAAGUUUUUCUCAUGUAAUAGGGGUAGGAUAGAGUUCUUUUUUUCUUUUUUUCACAGGUAUUAGGGGUAGGAUACAGAUUCUUUUGGAGUUACUCUUACCUAUCAAGGUUUGAUAGGUAAACUUGAUAGGAUAAGGUGUGACAGGAGCGGGGGAGAUGAAAAAAAUCAAUCGAAGGAAAAUGAUUAUGCCAAAAUCGCCAAUUUUUUCACCCAGCGCUCGCCUCACCCGCCCGCCUACCCACCCCAAUCCCGCCCGUCCGUCCCGCGCGCGUCCUCCGCCAGAAAAUCUUCAUUUUCCUUCUCUCCCACCUCUUCUUUCCCCCCGCACCGCACGCCGCCUCCCGAAUCCCUAUCUGCGUCGCCUCCCAAAUCCCGAACGCUGCCUCCACACCCUGCGCUAGGCUCCACCACGUAGUCCAGCGGCCAGACGGUGGAUACGGCGUGCAGCUCGACUGCUGUCAUGCCCCAGUGGAGACGACACUCGGCGCGAUGAGAAGCUGCAGCAGUCUCGUGAUCUGCUGCGGAGUCCCGCGGGCAGCGGCUGUGGAGGGCGCGCGCCACCGUCUGCUCCCUCAGGUAUUGAAUGGCGAGUGCGUAUAGAACUGUAAUGGUUAUUCAGAGUGGAGCUCAUUUCAGGAUAGUUCGAUUUUCAGUGUGCCACCACCAAGUUCAUCUUUAAUGCAGGUGCUGUCUGUUUGCCGCAGUCGCCGAGUUGAUCAUCUGCCCUUGAGAUCCGAGUAUGCUCCUUCAAUCUGGCAAUUCACUCUUUGACGUACAAGCCUAAAAUUAUAACGUCUAAUGCAGUAAAGGGUUUGUAUUGUGUCUCUCUGUUUUGUAGACUCAGUUUCUCAUCAUAAAGGGUUAGAUACAUAUGUUUAUUUAUCAUGCAUUAUUUUCUACAGCACUUGAUUCCUCAAUGGCUCAAUUAUUCACAGUUGUAGUGGUUCUGGUUAGAAACAAGUAGACUAAUAUAUCUUUAAUUAAGAUGUAGACCUAUUUUUAGGAUAAAUGACUAGAUUCAGAGUGAGGGUUUCCUCAAUUCGAGAUCGUUCUCUUGUUUUGUAAUUAUUAUUAUUUCCCAUCUUCUUUCUUAUCUGUCACUGUUGCUCCAGAGGCUUUUUAGUUAGUGACUGAUGAUUUCAAAUGCCCUGGCAUGGGUAUAAUGAAUUGUGAAAACAAUUGGAUGGGUAAGCUUGCCUUUUCUAAUAAUAUCAUAUUGUAUAUUAUAAAAAGUACUGUUA